rnacentral:snoRNA from 1 species
ACGGCAUGAUGGGGACAUUUUCUGAUGAGGUCCUUUAAUUUUUCCCAUGCCUCAUGGAACUGUUCACCAUUUUGGUAUGAGAAGCUAGUGAGAGCUCACCUU